rnacentral:lncRNA from 1 species
UUGUUAUUUCUCCAACCCUGAGGAAUAGAUAGAUAAAUAUGAUGAGCAAUGAAGCAUUCAUUCUUUGAGCAUGGAUGGCACACGUGCGGUCCAUACCCGCCCUAGUACAUACCCAGAACUUCAGAUCAUGGCAAGGUAAUUAUCAGCUAUACAUUGACAGCUAGGGGUCAGUCCUCAUUACUAAUCUUCUUGUGACUGCAUUUGAAGAAGAUGCUUACAAUGCUGAUUGUUUCCCUUUUCAUCUGACAGAAGGAAGCAACAAGGAAAUUGCUGGCAUCAGGGUUAGCAGUUAACAAUGUUAAGAUGCUGCAAGUAUUAAAUGGGUAGACAGAUUUUUAUGUUAUUUAUUUUCACCUGAGAGAAGGAAGCAGCCGAGAAAUCGGCGGCGCCUGAGUUAACAAUGUCAAGAUGCUGCAACCUGCAACUUCAAGUAUGAAAUGAGUAACAUAUACCCAAUUGCUAAGUUGAGACUUCAGAAUAAGAAUGACAGCAUAUGCAUACGAG